GGGAGCCAGGCAGGGGCUGCUGCUGCUGCUGCUGCUCUUGGGCUCUUUGGCGCCAUGGAGCUGAGAGCAGAGCUGCUCAAGUCCAUCUGGUACGCCUUCACGGCUCUGGACGCAGAGAAGAGUGGCAAGGUCUCCAAGUCCCAGCUCAAAACAGAUUGCCGGAAUCCAGCAAAUGUGAGAAGGAGUGCAGUCCUAUGCACAUCUGCUCAGAAGUAAAUCUGCUAUGAUGUGCCAUUGAGAAACUGUUUUCUGCAUUUCUUGGAAAUGCAAGAAGAACUGUGACAGAUGAAGAAUCCACAAACUUCAGCUAUUUGACUCAGUCACCUGAGCCACCUGACAACUUGUUGAUCUUCAGAUGAAAAAAGCAGCAGCAGAUAGUUUGGUCUUACCAGGAAGCACGAUUCCAAGAAGUAUAUUAGAGAAGUUGGUAACUCUUGUGGAACUGGUUACUCUUUAGUUGCUAGGAUUGGAAGUAGGCAAGAAAUAUGAAAAGGCAGGCUUGUUGUUGAACAUAAAGAAAACAAAAAUAAUGACCAUGGAGGAUCUGCACACAUUCAACCUAAACAAUGAGGAAACAGAAGUAGUUAAAGAUUCCCCGUACCUUGGAUCAAACAUUUGAUCAGAAAGGAGAAUGCAGUCAAGAAAGAAAAAGAAGACUAGGAAUGGGAAGGACAGCAAUGAAAGAACUAGACAAGAUUCCAAAUAAUAAAGUUAUACAACAGAGCAUUCAAGUUAGAAUCAUCCAAUCCAUUGUAUUCCCCAUCGCCAUGUAUGGAUGUGAGGGCUGCACAGUGAAGAAAAUGAAUAAAAAGAAAAU